GGCCUUGGUAUUCAUUUAUUCUACAAGGCUUAAAUAGCUUCAAACUUUUUAGUAUUGACUAUUGAGUACACCUCCAUGUAUGGUAACAAAUCAAGCUAGAAGGAAUUCUCUCCUACCUUCUUCAGAAUUUUGAGAGAACCAUAUAUUACCUUUAGUUUCUUUCCUUCACCCUUCAAUCUAUCCUUCGAGUGGAGGCCGACUAGCUCCUGCCCUUGGAAGUUACGCUUUAUGCGAUGCUUAUUAUGCCAGUUCUUAUAAUAUUGCUAUGAUAUAUAUACCUAUGCCUCAAUCUCCUAAUGCAUUUUUUUCGAUAUUCUCAAGAAACCUUUAAGCUCAUGCUUGGUCUCCCUCCUCAUUACUCUUUGGUGUAGAACCAACUCUAAACUCUAGGUCGAAGAUACUCUAUGAUCGACAGUCCAAGCAAACCUCCAAUGGCAAUUUUCACUUGAACCAUGAAUAUUUGUAGGUGAAUUGGAGGUAUGGUAUUGUUGUAGAUUCCUGACUUGGAAUGGGUUGGCUGGAGAUGGAUACCGAUUAGCAAGGUGAUGAUGAUCGAACUUGCAAACAAAUCCCUAGCCAUAGUUGGCUCCAGCAGAUAUCCUCCGAAGCUCAAGUUAGAAACUUAUAAAAUAGAUGGAAAGGAGUGUACGAGAGAGAGAGAUUGCAUACCUUGGGGGUCUCUUGGUUAUCUCUAUUUAUAGAUCUAGGUGAAAGCCGUAAAAAAAAUAGUUGGAGGCCAUCCCAACUCCUUUAGGUGCAAGUUUCAAGAUUUCUAGCCUGAUUUUUUGGGAUUUGACAGUUG
rnacentral:lncRNA from 1 species